CUUUUUCCGCCAAAUGUAAGAUCU
rnacentral:misc_RNA from 1 species